rnacentral:rRNA from 1 species
CUACGGGGGGCUGCAGUGGGGAAUAUUGGACAAUGGGCGGAAGCCUGAUCCAGCAAUGUCGCGUGUACGAAGAAGGCCUGCGGGUUGUAAAGCACUUUCGGUUGGGAGGACUGCUUCUAGCACUAAUAUUGUUGGAAGUUGACGUUACCUUCAGAAGAAGCACCGGCUAACUCCGUGCCAGCAGCCGCGGGUAAUACGGAGGGUGCAAGCGUUAAUCGGAAUUACUGGGCGUAAAGCGCGCGUAGGCGGCUAGAUCAGUCGGGUGUGAAAGCCCCGGGCUUAACCUGGGAACUGCAUCCGAUACUGUCUAGCUUGAGUACAGGAGAGGAGAGUGGAAUUCCACAUGUAGCGGUGAAAUGCGUAGAUAUGUGGAGGAACACCAAUGGCGAAGGCAGCUCUCUGGCCUGAUACUGACGCUGAGGCGUGAAAGCGUGGGGAGCAAACAGGAUUAGAUACCCGCGUAGUC